GUGUCCUCUAUUCUGUACCAUUGGUCCACCCGCCUGUUUUGGUACCAGUACCAUGCUGUUUUUGUUACUAUUGCUCUGUAAUAUAGUUUGAAAUCUGGUAUCACUAUACCGCCUGAUUCUGAUCAACUCUUUGGAAUACUUACUCUAUGUUUUAUGGAAGGAAGUAUUUAGUUACUAAAUUACAUUGCUCUAAUUUUGGCUUUGGGCAUUAGCUUGCAAUUUAUGUAGGACUUCUACUAAUUGCUUGUUCUCUCCAAUUGCUGGCUAAGUAUUAGGAAUUAUUUCUUGUUAUUAGUUGCAUUGCUGCAAAUCAGACUCAGGACCUUGUAUAUACUAGACACAUCCUCUAUUACUGAGCUGCAUCUUUAGCCCUUUGAUUUAAGUAUUAUUGUUAACCUAUGUUAAGAUUCAGUAGUUCACAACUUUUCAACAGCAGAGCUAGGUACCUUAAAACUGGGAUGUUGUUUUCUGAGGGGCUGACCAAGACCUUGUGACAUGUUCAACAAAAUAACUGGUCUUGACUUACUAGAUACAUGUGGAAAGCACCAAACUAUGACAAUCAUAAGUGUUUCAGACUACUACAAAUGUACCCUGGAAAUAAAUACCAUUAUAAUUGAAACUGCUGCACAAUCUAUUGAGAAAUAUAAACAAACAAACAUGAGACAUUUAUAAGAUCUUAAAAACAGUUUAGACAUGUGACCUGGUUCUUCAAAUCCAGAUGAAUACAUAAGGCAGUAACACAUAAGAGGGUCAGUAGAUUACUUGCAAUAUAAAAUUAUCAGUACAAACUUUGCUUGCAAAAUAUAAGCAUACGAGUGAAUAAAUAUAAUUGUAAAAAAAUACUAAACAUUAUUUACUUACAAUUUAGCAAAACAGUUACUAGGAAAAAAUCAGUUUGUGAUGCAUACUACAUAGAAUUACAGACAAGUAUUUAAGAAAAGGAUGUUGGGGAAAGUAACAGCCUCCACAGUUUGUUCUUACUUGACUUUGCAAAAUGAAUGUAAGUAAAGAUGUAUUAAAAAUUAUAUCGCUUUGCUCUGAACUUCUACUGAAGCUGUCCUUCCUUCACUUCAUAGAGGAGUCUUCUGUAGCUGGGUGAGGUAAGUCACACUUGUAUUCCCAGCAACUCAAGUGACUGGGAUAAGAUGAUACCAAAUUUAAGGAUAGCCUCACCUAAUUAGGGAGAGUUUAUUACAAAAUACAAACUAAAAAGGACUGGGGAUAUAACUCAGGAGUAAACAUUCGAAGUUCGUUCCCCCCUGCCAGAAAACAAGACUAAACUUCCCUGAACUACUUAACUGAUCCAGCUCUUUCUAAAAACAAAGUGGUUCUUCAAAGAACAGGACUAUAAAAUCUAUGAUCUUACUGUCUGAGCCUCAAGUCAACCGGAUUACAUACAUGUACCACUGGGGUCCGCUGAUUAUUUUCUCAUUUCUUAAUAGCAUUACAGUAAUUUAAAGUUACUUAGGAGACCUUCCCAAAUAUCUUUAGAAUUGGAUGUUUCCCUAAUUUCUUUGGAAAUAGACUAGCAAUGUGGGAAGAUGAACAACAUCCAAGUGCAUGGGGGUAAGAGAACACAUGAGUGAACAAGUGAUCUUUCUCCAAGAUUGAAUUGAAGGUGCUGAGAGGAGUGGCAGGUGCCUUUAAUCCCAGUUGCUAAACAGGCUGAAGCAGGAGAAUUGCAAGUUCAAUGUCAGCAUAAGCAACUUAUGAAGACUGUGUCUCCAAACAAACAAACAAAAAAGAUGGAGGGUUGGAAAAUGUAGCUCAGUGGUCAGUGGUUGAGUGCAUCUGGGUUCAAACCCUCAUACAAAAACAAACAAACAAGCAAACAAAAAGCAAUAAUAAGUGAAGGAAAUAAUUAUCAUUGAUCUCUUUUCUACGUAAUAUUUUCCUCCAGUUUCAGUUCUCACUGAAUUUUCUUCCUCCCUUUCAAAAUGGUGCUUCCUUAGAUUUUUCCCUUAAGAAAAUGCUCAAUUUAAACUCCCAACCUAAACCAAAGGUAUCCUUGCAAAUUUCUGAGUUCUCAAUUGAAAGAUUUUGAGGCCUCAAAAACUUAUAUGCAAAAAGUAAGUGGCCUCAUUUUUUUUUUCUUUUUUACCCUUAACCGUUCAAAGGA
rnacentral:lncRNA from 1 species